rnacentral:tmRNA from 1 species
GGGGCUGAUUCUGGAUUCGACGGGAUUUGCGAAACCCAAGGUGCAUGCCGAGGGGCGGUUGGCCUCGUAAAAAGCCGCAAAAAAUAGUCGCAAACGACGAAAACUACGCUUUAGCAGCUUAAUAACCUGCUUAGAGCCCUCUCUCCCUAGCCUCCGCUCUUAGGACGGGGCUCAAGAGAGGUCAAACCCAAAAGAGAUCGCGUGGAAGCCCUGCCUGGGGUUGAAGCGUUAAAACUUAAUCAGGCUAGUUUGUUAGUGGCGUGUCCGUCCGCAGCUGGCAAGCGAAUGUAAAGACUGACUAAGCAUGUAGUACCGAGGAUGUAGGAAUUUCGGACGCGGGUUCAACUCCCGCCAGCUCCACCA